rnacentral:rRNA from 1 species
CGAGCACGCGCGUGUGGCAUAUCAAUAAGCGGAGGAAAAGAAACUAACAAGGAUUCCCCUAGUAACGGCGAGUGAAGCGGGAAGAGCUCAAAUUUGAAAUCUUCAAGGGUUUCCCUUGACGAAUUGUAGUUUAAAGAAGUGUUUUCUGUUAGAGAGGUGGUAAAAGUUCUUUGGAAUAGGACAUCAUGGAGGGUGAGAAUCCCGUAUUUGAUCACUUUCUACUAACGUUGUGAUACACUUUCAAAGAGUCGGAUUGUUUGGGAAUGCAGUCCAAAAUGGGUGGUAAAUUUCAUCUAAAGCUAAAUAUUGGCGAGAGACCGAUAGCGAACAAGUACCGUGAGGGAAAGAUGAAAAGAACUUUGAAAAGAGAGUAAAACAGUACGUGAAAUUGUCAAAAGGGAAGCGUUUGACACCAGUGUUGUUUUUCCGAAAAUCAAUUAUGAAUGGCUUGAUUUUAAGUUUCAUGACCUUAAAAGCUUGUUUCUUAUUUUUCAUGUCUUUCGUAAUGCACUUUUCGGUUAACAAGUCAACAUCAAUUUCUUUUGUUGUAAAAGGUUAAGAGGAAGGUGGCUUUACUUUCGGGUAAAGUGUUUAUAGCCUUUUAACUCUGCAAUCGGAGAGAUUGAGGUCUGCAGCGUAGAUCCUUCGGGGUUAGAUACAGUUUGUGCUAAGUUAUAGCUUUUCAUAGACAACUUGUUGACUAUGUUAAGUCUUGUAAUUUACUCGCAGAUGCUAUUUUACCUACGCUUAGGAUGUUGAUGUGAUACUGCGAGC